ensembl:lncRNA
GUCUUAGACCGCUGCGCCACUCGGGCGCCCAAGGUACAGAUCUAGGAUCAGCUUUCCCUCCCCCAAUGCUAACUAAAACCGUUAGGGGGGGAUGCUAAACUGUCCCAAAAUCAGCAUUUAGGAACAACUUCACUCAACUCCAAUAAGGUUAGCCCUACUGAAAUUAAGUAGUUUGUAUUGUGAACACAACAUUUAUGAUGUUGUCUUUGACUUUCACCCCUCAGAUUUGGAAAGUGAAAAACAAAGAGCUGGGUGGUUGUAGUAGAAGUUAGGGUUAGAGAGGAGGGCUGGUAGUAGUAGUUAGGGUUAGAGAGGAGGGCUGGUAGUAGUAGUUAGGGUUAGAGAGGAGGGCUGGUAGUAGUAGUUAGGGUUAGAGAGGAGGGCUAGUAGUAGUUAUUAGGGUUAGAGAGGAGGGCUGGUAGUAGUAGUUAG